rnacentral:rRNA from 1 species
GUUAAAUCGACCGCCUGGGGAGUACGGCCGCAAGGUUAAAACUCAAAUGAAUUGACGGGGGCCCGCACAAGCGGUGGAGCAUGUGGGUUAAUUCGAUGCAACGCGAAUAACCUUACCUGGUCUUGACAUCCACAGAACUUUCCAGAGAUGGAUUGGUGCCUUCGGGAACUGUGAGACAGGUGCUGCAUGGCUGUCGUCAGCUCGUGUUGUGAAAUGUUGGGUUACGUCCCGCAACGAGCGCAACCCUUAUCCUUUGUUGCCAGCGGUUCGGCCGGGAACUCAA